rnacentral:rRNA from 1 species
CGAGCGAGCGUAUUUGCGGAAGUUUUCGGAUGGAAGCGGAUGCGACUUAGCGGCGGACGGGUGAGUAACGCGUGGGUAACCUGCCUCAUACAGGGGGAUAACAGUUAGAAAUGACUGCUAAUACCGCAUAAGCGCACAGGACCGCAUGGUCCGGUGUGAAAAACUCCGGUGGUAUGAGAUGGACCCGCGUCUGAUUAGCUGGUUGGCGGGGUAACGGCCCACCAAGGCGACGAUCAGUAGCCGACCUGAGAGGGUGGCCGGCCACAUUGGGACUGAGACACGGCCCAAACUCCUACGGGAGGCAGCAGUGGGGAAUAUUGCACAAUGGGGGAAACCCUGAUGCAGCAACGCCGCGUGAGUGAAGAAGUAUUUCGGUAUGUAAAGCUCUAUCAGCAGGGAAGAAAAAAGACGGUACCUGACUAAGAAGCCCCGGCUAACUACGUGCCAGCAGCCGCGGUAAUACGUAGGGGGCAAGCGUUAUCCGGAUUUACUGGGUGUAAAGGGAGCGUAGACGGCAUAGCAAGUCUGAAGUGAAAGCCCGUGGCUCAACCGCGGAACUGCUUUGGAAACUGUUAAGCUGGAGUACUGGAGAGGCAAGCGGAAUUCCUAGUGUAGCGGUGAAAUGCGUAGAUAUUAGGAGGAACACCAGUGGCGAAGGCGGCUUGCUGGACAGAGACUGACGUUGAGGCUCGAAAGCGUGGGGAGCAAACAGGAUUAGAUACCCUGGUAGUCCACGCGGUAAACGAUGAAUGCUAGGUGUUGGCGGGCAAAGCCCGUCGGUGCCGCCG